rnacentral:lncRNA from 1 species
GUUCUUUAGAGCUGGGUGGUGGAGCAGUAGUACCACCAACAGCAUAUGUAAUGGUGCAUGACUCGCAGCUAUUAGAUCAAAUCACUGGCCAAUCUGAUGUGUACCCUGGAUUUUAUUCUUUCUAAAGCCCCUACCCCCAAGCAAAAAUGAGUGCAAAAAAAAAAAAAAAAUUAGAAGAGCUAAAUGGAAAAACAGGCCACUUGGAAUGCUCUUGAACAAAUGUACUGUUUUCACUCGUUCGGGACCCAAAUACAUCAUCUAGGCUCUUUUCGCACCUAAAAGUUGCUAUCUGGUUAAUAUUUCAAAACCUAAGUCUCGCUCUAAUUGUCUGUGACUGUGGGAUAAUUGCAAGUGGGCACCGACAGCUUUUUCACUGUUGGGGAAAGAAGAGACACGAGAAGCUGCAGUCUUUGGCGGGGGGAUGGGAGGUGGAGGGAAUCCUGGAAGGGAAUAUCCUUCGGAGAGGAGGAGGCAAGUGCAGGGAAAGGAAAGACCGAGAGGAUGCUGUAAACGCUAACACGGCGAUUCUUAACCAGAAGUUACGACAUUUUCUUUUGCCAAGGGGCUCUCCAGUCCCAGCUUCGAGGGGACCAAAGCCUCAGCCAGGGAAGUAUCUGCAGCGUUCGAACAAAUCGGCGACAGGAAGGAGCAGUGCCAAGGGGUACUUAAGGAGAAAAAACUGUAUUAGUGUGAAGCCAACCUUUGCCUGCUGCCACUCAGUGUGGAAAUUCCAGGCAGCCUCCCUGCCCUUACACACACGCGAACACACACACACACUUUGCUGCACUCAGCGUUCAAUAAGCCAACAUUUAGAGAACGACGCGUUCGCGGGGUCCCUCGCCGCCCCCGCGUGCGCGUGCACAGACACUCACUUCCCAUCCCUUCCACGUUCUGCGAGCAGUCUCAGCACCACCAACGGCCCGAACCCAGGCACCGCGAGGUCCACGGAGACGACGCUCUCUCCCCUGAGCAGCACCUCGGCUUGGGGGCAGUCUCGGGGCACGUCCUGCACCCGCUUCCCCGACCCCGGCAACGCCAACUGCGCGAAUCCCCGGGUUGGGUGACUGCUCGCGGGUCUAACCCGAAAGCCGAGAAACCGCGCCGCGGCGGGAUUCCGGGCAACAACCGCGUCCCCGCUGGUCCCCGCUGGUCCCCGCUUCGCACCGCGCACUCAGUCUGCACUGCGCCCCGGCUGCCCCGAAGGUCCCAGCCUCGCCGACCGGAUCGGCAGCCCCCGAGUCUCCAGACUCCCGCUGCUCCGGGGCUCCCGAUCUCAGCGCCCCGGGACCAAGCCGGUGCGCCGCCGGCCGCUCUUCGCGCUCCGGCCACGCUCCGUCUCCGGGCUUUACACACGGGCGCACAGACACGCACCCUCCCUUCCCUCGCCCCAGCACGCACACUUGCGCCCCCCGGGAGUUGCCCGCCUCCUCCCGCACCGCCAGAGGCAGCCCCCUACGCGCCCGCGCGUCCCACUGCCGGGGGCCGGCCAGUGGAUGCCCCGGCUCCCUCUAGCCGCCCCCCCUCCGGGGAACCCGAGACGCUCGGCGCUUACAGUUCGCAGGAACUGGAUCUCAUCCUCGCCCUCGCCCCCAUCGGCCAUGGCUCUGCUCCUUCUCGCAGGGGCCGGCUCCCGAACCCCGCGGAGCCCGGCGUCGUUGGCGGUGGCGGUCCCUCGCUCUGUCUGCUGCUGCUGCUGUUUCUGCUGCCGGGAGCCGGGGGCGGGAGGGGUCCGAGGCUGCUGGGUGCCGAGCGCCAGGCGGUCCCCGCCUGCAGAGCGGAGGAGGAGGCCGGCGGGCGGGGGCGGCGGAGGCGGGANCCUCCCUGCGCCGCACUGUGCGGGAGGAGGGCGACCCGGCCCGGAGGACGCGGGCAAGCGGCCCCGCAGCCCCGCCGCGCUGGCUUCGCGCGCCCCGCCUGCCGCAGGCGGACUGCUCGGCCCCGGCUCCUCCGAGCGAGUGCGCUGAGCUGGCGGAGCCCGGGUGAGUGCCGCGGUGGGGGCGGGGAGUGGGGGCGGACGGCGGGGAGGAGCUCGCCGGNNNNNNNNNNNNNNNNNNNNNNNNNNNNNNNNNNNNNNNNNNNNNNNNNNNNNNNNNNNNNNNNNNNNNNNNNNNNNNNNNNNNNNNNNNNNNNNNNNNGGCGGGGAGGAGCUCGCCGGCUCCCCUCUGCUGCAGGUAAUCCGCAGCCCGCUCCUCGGGGCCACCAAAUCCGAGGCCCAGCGCCGCUUACUGGCCGCUCCCGGUAUCGGAGCCGGAGCACACCCGAUGAGCGCGCAACCUUCCCGCUGCGCCCUUCUUGUUUCCCUGGGCUCCUGCACCUGCGGCUUCUGACCUUAAACCAGCUCUCACGAUUGCUUCUCCUGUGCGAGCGGAAGGGACUCCCACAGUACUUUCCGCGGCACUUCAGAUCUCAGGCAAGAAUCAUCUUUCACCCGGAUGCCCGGAGUGGAUCACCUCCAAGUAAAGGUGAUUUUAGACUUAGAUUAGCUCUGUUCCCGGAUCAUCAUGAGAAUUCAUUAGGAUCUAGUGUCGGUGCACCAUGCUCCUCACAGAUCAGACACACAAAAUGCAUGGUACACAGAACUGUAACAAACUCAUUCAACAAAUACAUGGUGAAUCCCUGUGCCAGAUACUGGAGAAUAAACA